AUCUACAGCCAUAUUGCCCUGAACACACCCAAUCUUGUCUGAUCUUAGAUGCUAAGCAGGGUUGAGCCUGGUUAGUACUUGGAUGGGAAAUGUUUUAGAAGUCUAAGCUCUGAAGUGG
ensembl:rRNA 5S_rRNA 5S ribosomal RNA